rnacentral:rRNA from 1 species
GAUGAACGCUGGCGGCGUGCCUAAUACAUGCAAGUCGAGCGAACAGACGAGGAGCUUGCUCCUCUGACGUUAGCGGCGGACGGGUGAGUAACACGUGGAUAACCUACCUAUAAGACUGGGAUAACUUCGGGAAACCGGAGCUAAUACCGGAUAAUAUAUUGAACCGCAUGGUUCAAUAGUGAAAGACGGUUUUGCUGUCACUUAUAGAUGGAUCCGCGCCGCAUUAGCUAGUUGGUAAGGUAACGGCUUACCAAGGCAACGAUGCGUAGCCGACCUGAGAGGGGGAUAGGCCACACGAGAACGGAGACACGGACCAGACUACUGAGGGAGGCAGCAGUAGGGAAUCGUCCGCAAUGGGCGAAAGCCUGACGGAGCAACGCGGCGUGAGUGAUGAAGGUCUUCGGAUCGUAAAACUGUGUUAUUAGGGAAGAACAAAUGUGUAAGUAACUAUGCACGGCUUGACGGUACCUAAUCAGAAAGCCACGGCUAACUACGUG